rnacentral:rRNA from 1 species
UACGUAGGUGACAAGCGUUGUCCGGAUUUACUGGGCGUAAAGAGCGCGCAGGCGGUCGAUCAAGUCGAGUGUGAAAGCCCCCGGCUCAACUGGGGAGGGUCAUUCGAUACUGAUCGACUCGAAGGCAGGAGAGGGUAGUGGAAUUCCCGGUGUAGUGGUGAAAUGCGUAGAGAUCGGGAGGAACACCAGUGGCGAAGGCGGCUACCUGGACCAGCACUGACACUGAGGCACGAAAGCGUGGGGAGCAAACAGGG